CUACGGAGGGUGCAAGCGUUACUCGGAAUCACUGGGCGUAAAGGACGCGUAGGCGGGUUGGAAAGUCUGAUGUGAAAUCCUACAGCUUAACUGUAGAACUGCAUUGGAAACUUCCAACCUAGAGUAUGGGAGGGGGAGAUGGAAUUAGUGGUGUAGGGGUAAAAUCCGUAGAUAUCACUAGGAAUACCUAAAGCGAAGGCGAUCUCCUGGAACAUAACUGACGCUAAGGCGUGAAAGCGUGGGGAGCAAACGGGAUUAGAAACCCUAGUAGUCC
rnacentral:rRNA from 1 species